CGGCAAGCACCGACAAGUCAAAUGUCACUUCACAGGGAUGUGGCAGCCACGCUCAGGCACUGUUUGUGGGAGUGUGAAGAAGGCCCCGCCACCUUGAGACUCUGUCUGCGGUGUCUGUUAAAGCUCCGUUCCAGGUGGGCCUCAUCCAAUCCCUCGGAGGCCUUAAAAAAGCACCGACCUCUCCCCAGGAAGAGGGAAUUCUGCCAGGAAACUGCCAUCAGACUCAUCUGCAGCACCAGAUCUUCCCUGGGUCUCCAGCCUGCCAGCCGACCUGCAGAUUUUGGAUUUACCAAGCUUCCAUGAUCGCAUGAGCCGAUUCUUCAUUCAUAAGAGCCCCAAACUGGAAACAACCUAGUUCUUCCACCUGAUCAGUCACUUUCUGUUGAAGAACAUCAGUGACUGACAGCAAAUUCUUUCCAUUCUCCUGAACAGCCCCUCUGCAAUGAGAAUUCACUGCUCCUCCACCAAGGAUUUUUCUACCUGUUGGGUCUGGGCUGGGCCCUGUGGCAUCCCUAACGUCUGUGGGGAUCAGCAAAGUGAAAAGCCCUUGAGCACUGAGGUGUGUCCUGCUUGCUGCUGGGAAACCUUCUGCCGCUAUUCCACCGGGCUUGGUUUGGUCUCCUGGAGAACAAGGGAUCAUGUGGAAGGAGGUCAUUUCAGCUGCAGGAUGUCUGGGAAGGAGGGUGACCUGGGUCAUCAAGCCCCAGCGAGUUGGCCCAGACUGGGAGAGUCACUGGGCCAUGUCCCAGAACUGGGAGAAAUAAGACGUGCGAGUUGUCUUAUUCAUGUUGGGAUGGCUUGUUAGGUAACAAAUAAACAUGGUUACAAUCAUUUUGGGUUUUCUUGGGUCCCAUGACACCAGCAAACAGAGACUAACUCUCCUUUGGGAGGCGGCACUGCAACUGUCCACAUGUGAAAACAUUUGCCGAGCUAUGUGACUGAAGUGCACCUACUGUACAGAAGUUAUAGCUCAGGUAAAAGGUGAGAAGAAGAAAAUAAUAACGUAGUCCCUCUCUGUAAAGGUUUCUCAUCAUAUAAUACGGAAACAGACAUGUAACAGAGCAUGUGAACACAAAACACAAUGUGCUUUCAAACCUAGAGGCCCAGACAGUGGUCUGGAGGCAUAGUGGAGGAGAAACGGGGGCCACCUUGAGAGCCGGUACAAAUUGUUGGGGUGCAAACUGACCCUAUCAGUCAGCACGUCUUGCAUUGGGCCAGAGUGAAUGCUGAGCAGCUGCAUCUCUUACUUCAAAACAGCUCAGGCCAAUUCCAGGCUCCUAGCAUCAGCCCUCCCAGGAAUCAGGGAGAUGUUCUAGAUCCGAGGGCAUCUGCAGUCCUGGGAGAACUUCGCCAUGUGGAAAAAGACAUGAAGCCUCGGGAUGUGCAGCGUGGAGAAGCUGAGCCGUUCCCCACAGCUGGGUGUGACGACCCUAUAGAUCUGAGGGCUCAGAUGCACAACUAAAAAGAGCAGAGAUCGCGUCUUACUUGCAGAAGGGAAAACUACCAAAGCUCUUUGUGGUGGUUUUACCUUUAUGUGCCAAUUUGACUGGGCCAACGGAUGCCCAGGUAACUGGGUAAACAGUAUUUCUGGGUGUUUCUGUGGGGGUAUUUCCAAAAGAGAUUAGCAUUUGCACUGGUAGACGGUAAAACAGGUGGCCCUCCCCACUGUGGGCAGGCGUCACCUGACCUGUUGAGGCCUGACUAGAACAAAAAGGCAGAGGAGGGGUGAACUCACUCUCUGCCUGACUGCUGAGCUGGGACAGCCGUCUCCUGCCUGCAGUGCUCCUGGUUCUCAGGCCUUCCAGCCCGGACUGGACCCUCUGUCAGAUCUCCGGCUCUCAGGCCUUCAGACCACACCACUAGCUCUUCUGCGCCUCCAGCUUGCAGACAGCAGAUGGUGGGAGUUCUCAGCCUCCAUAAUCAUGUGAUCCAAUACCUUGUAAUAAAUCUCUCUCUCUAUAUAAGUAUAUAUAAGUAAAGCUUUAUAAAUUCAUAUGAAUAAAUCUCUUUACAUAUAUGUAUCUGUAGGGAAAAUGGAAGUUUGGAUGGCCAGGAUCCUCACCUGACCCUAAUCUACCUGAUGAUGUAAUUGGCCUACUGCUGGGCUACUGCUUUCACACCCAUUGACAAUGAGCCGUUAUUAUUGGUGUUAUUAUAUAAAGAGCUCUGUCCAGUGCUCUACCUUGGAGGCAGAGACAGAGAUGGAUUGCAAACUUGCCAGAGGCAGAUGUGAUUCUAGCACUUGACCUGCCACCCUGAGAAAAAGGUUGGUAUAAACCCUUUAACCCCCAACUUUCCAACGUUGGUAUUCAGUCUCACUGAAUCCAGAGCAAACUUGCCUGGGGCUGAAACGUUGCAGCAAGAUGGUAUCUUUUUGGUUUUGUUUCUCUGGAGAACCUUGACUAAUUACACCAUUUAAGCAAAUCACAUAUUGAGGGCUGUGUGAGAGAAAAUAGCUUUUCAACCUCCUUAAUGUGAUUAGAAUAAUCAAUUUCAUUUUUAUUCUUAAUAAUGUGUUGAUUUUCAAAAUGCAAUAAUAGAAAACUUGGCUUAAAAAAAUUCACUUGGAAGCCACAGUAAUCAAAACAAUUUGGUACUGGCACAAAAACAGAGCCAUAGACCAAUGGAACAGACUAGAGAGCCCAGAUAUAAACCCAAGCAUAUAUGGUCAAUUAAUAUACGAUAAAGGAGCCAUGGACAUACAACGGGGAAAUAGCAGCCUCUUCAACAGCUGAUGUUGGCAAAACUGGACAGCUACAUGCAAGAGAAUGAAACUGGAUUAUUGUCUAUCCCCAUACACAAAAGUAAACUCAAAAUGGAUCAAAGACCUGAAUGUAAGUCAUGAAACCAUAAAACUCUUAGAAGAUAACAUAGGCAAAAAUCUCCUGAAUAUAAACACGAGCAACUUUUUUCUCAAUGCAUCUCGUUGAGCAAGGGAAACAAAAGCAAAAAUGAACACAUAGAACUACAUCAAACUUAAAAGAUUCUGUACAGCAAAGGACACCAUCAACAGAACAAAAAUGCAUCCUACAGUAUGUGAGAAUAUAUUUGUAAAUGACCUAUCUGACAAGGGGUUAACAUCCAAAAUAUAUAAAGAACUCACACCUCACCACCCAAAAAGCAAAUAACCCAAUUAAAAAAUGGGCAGAGGAUAUGAAGAGACGGUUCUCCAAAGAAGAAAUUCAGAUGGCCAACAGGCACAUGAAAAGAUGCUCCACAUCACUAAUCAUCAGGGAAAUGCAAAUUAAAACCACAAUGAGAUAUGACCUCAUACUAGUAAGGAUGGCCAGCAUUGAAAAGACUAAGAACAACAAAUGCUGGCGAGGAUGUGGAGAAAGGGGAACCCUCCUACACUGCUGGGGGGAAUGUAAGCUAGUUCAACCAUUGUGGAAAGCAUAUGGAAGAUCCUCAAAAAAACUAAAAACAGAAAUACCAUUUUGACCCAGGAAUUCCACUCCUAGGAAUUUACCCAAAGAAUACAACUUCUCAUAUUCAAAAUGACAUAUGCACCCCUGUGUUUAUUGCAGCACUUUUUACAAUAGCCACAAUAUGGGAGCAACCUAAGUGUCCAUGAGCAGAUGAAUGGAUAAAGAAGAGGUGGUACCUGUACACAAUGGAAUACUAUUCAGCCAUAAGACAGAAACAAAUCCUACCAUUUGCAACAACAUGGGUGGAGCUGGAGGAUAUUAUGCUCAGUGAAAUAAGCCAGGCAGAGAAAGACAAGUGCCAAAUGAUUUCCCUCGUGUGGAGCAUAACAACGAAGCAAAACCGAAGGAACAAAGUAGCAGCAGAAUCGGAGACUCCAAGAAGGGACCAGCGGUUACCAAAGGGGAGGGUGGGGGAGGGCGGGGAGGGGGGGAGGGAGAAGGGGACUGAGGGGUAUUAUGAUCGUCAUACAUGGUGUUGGGGGGAUAAGGCAAAUAGUGACUCUGUGGCAUCUUACUACACUGAUGGACAGUGACUGCAAUGGGGUGGGGGGGGGACACGAUAAUAUGGGUGAAUGUAGUAACCACAUUAUUUUUCAUGUGAAACCUUCAUAAGAGUGUAUAUCAAUAAUACCUUAAUUUAAAAAAUUCACUUGGAGAGGACAUUGCAAUGCAGUAUUAUUUCUUUGUUUUGUUCUAGAAUCAAGGACCCAAGUGAUGAUUUGUUUGAAAAGUCAAACUUCAAGUUUUGCUAGAGGUCAACUCAUAACCUUUUUCCCCCCUCUUGUUUGAUUGCAUAUUUGUACAAAACAUAUGGUGAAAGAAGGGACAUGGCUUUCACAACAUGUUGAUGGAGAUAACACCAAAGAAUAUGGUGCCAUUGAUAUCUCCAGAGCAAAGUUGUUUUGGCCAUUUACCGAGCACUUAUUAAGAGCCAGGCACCGUGCAAAUGUUUUAGGUGUGUCUUCUUCUUGGGGUGUCUAGUUCAGGAUCACACAACUACUCGGGGGCACCGUUGGAGCCUGAAGCCCCGCUCCUCGCCUGCUCCCUUAGCCACCGUCGGCCCCGCCUCUUCUCCGUGAAUGAGCCCCACUGGGGGGGCUUCACCGCAACGUGCAUCGUUCAGGCUCCACCACGCUGGGUUCACAACCAGGAAUCAAGAUGAUCAAAGGAAAGACUCCUGUAGGAAGGACCAAGCAUCGACCAACACCUAUGCAGGUGACCUCCGAGAAGACACCAAACCUCGACCAAAGCUACGAGAAAACCUCUGGAAAAGGCUCCUGGAGCCUCCGACCGCCUGCGCCGCGUUGUGAGCCGUGAAAGCUGCGCCCCUCGCAUCCGACCCUGAAGCCGGGUGCAAUCCGCUUGGUUGCAGCCCUGUGUUAGUCAUCUACUGCCGCCUAACGAAUUACCUCAAGUCAGCCACUUAAAACAAACAUUUUUCAUCUCUGUUUCUGAGUCAGAAAUUCGGGAGUGGUUUGGCUGCGUGGUUUUUGGUCAGUCUCCCUCUUACACAGAGGUUUUAGUACCGUUAUUUAGGUGUGGCAAGGCCAGCAGAUUAGGAGGCAGUGCCAUUGAGAGGAUACUUCGUUCCAGAUCCCAAAGGGGGGGAGCAAGCCACACCACAGGGGCCACGCGAGGAAGGGCCCCCCACCAGGGUCGGUCAGGAGGCACAGGGAGGUGGGGGCUGUGGCGGGAGCCCUCCUGGGGUCUUCAUGGGAAGGACAGGUGAGGCAGGGUAAGCAGCCUGAGAACUGGCUGGUCUGGGUAAUUCCAGCGGGCUCUCAGGGGCAGGGGCUGUCCUUGGUGGUGUGGUGCCUGCCCUGGGGUGAUGAGGGCAGGUGGACCCAGGAAGGGAGGCAGUGGAGGUGUGGGCUCUGAAUCGCUUGGUUUGCAUCUGAAAGGCGUGGUUCUCAGGCAAGUUGUUCAGCAGCUCUGGGAACAGGCUCACCCUGGGAGCUCUCCAAGCAUCAGAAUACAGGAAGUAAGAGGCGUGGUUAGCACAGCUGUCAUGAGGUUGCAAUCAGGAUGGUGGCGUGGCUGCAGCCAUCUGAAAGCUUGACCGGCUGGGGGAUCCCCUCCUGAGAUGGCUUGUCACACGGUCGCUGUGUCACGUGACACGCCAGCAGCUUUAGUGCUGGCUUGGCCGGAAGCCUCGGUUCCUCAUCCCCCAAAGCUCUCCACAGGGGCUGCUUGGCUGUCCUCCUCACAUGGUGGCUGGCUCCCCCCAGAGCAGGAUCUAAGGGGGAGUGAGGAACAAGCCACUGGGCCUCUGGUGACCUGGUCGUGGACAGAAUGUGCCAUCACGUCCGCCAUACAGAGGAUUGGAAGGCAGUCACUAAGCCCGGCCCACCUUCAAGGGGUAGAGGAUUUGGUCCAAACUUUGAGGGGAAAUGGUCAAAGAAUUUCUGGACAUAUUUUAACACUACAUCAGUUUCAGCUGGUCACAGAAACUCAACCCCAAAAAGGAGGCAUUUAUGACAAAAGCGGGGAAGGAUGGAGUAGUGCUGGCCUCUCAGUACGGGAAUCAUGUCCACCCUCUCUGUCUCUGUCUCUGUCUCUCUGUCUCUCUGUCUCUCUCUCUCUCUCACACACACACACACACACACACACACACACACACUUCUCUGUGUAGACGCUGCACUCUCUCAGCUAUGAACAACCCACAGUCUGCUCCAAAUUUGCGUCCGUGCAGGCUCUUGAACAGCAAAGCCAGCUUGUGGCCCCUGGCCAGCGGCCACCUGGGAUGGGUCGGGGCAGGACCCUGAAGGGGCGCAGCUCUGCCUGGGGGCUCAUGCCUUGGACCCAGCACUGCCUGGGACUGGGGCUCAGCACGUGCAUGGGCUUGGGUCGCAUGC